CAUGCAAGUCGAACGAAGCGCUUAAGAUUGAUUCUUCGGAUGAUUUCUUUUGCGACUUAGUGGCGGACGGGUGAGUAACGCGUGGGUAACCUGCCUCACACAGGGGGAUAACAGUUAGAAAUGACUGCUAAUACCGCAUAACCCGAUAGGAUCGCAUGAUCCAGACGGAAAAGAUUUAUCGGUGUGAGAUGGACCCGCAUCUGAUUAGCUAGUUGGUGAGGUAACGGCCCACCAAGGCGACGAUCAGUAGCCGGCCUGAGAGGGUGAACGGCCACAUUGGGACUGAGACACGGCCCAAACUCCUACGGGAGGCAGCAGUGGGGAAUAUUGCACAAUGGGGGAAACCCUGAUGCAGCGACGCCGCGUGAGUGAAGAAGUAUUUCGGUAUGUAAAGCUCUAUCAGCAGGGAAGAAAAUGACGGUACCUGACUAAGAAGCCCCGGCUAACUACGUGCCAGCAGCCGCGGUAAUACGUAGGGGGCAAGCGUUAUCCGGAUUUACUGGGUGUAAAGGGAGCGUAGACGGUCAAGCAAGUCAGAAGUGAAAGGCUGGGGCUCAACCCCGGGACUGCUUUUGAAACUGUUUGACUGGAGUGCUGGAGAGGUAAGCGGAAUUCCUAGUGUAGCGGUGAAAUGCGUAGAUAUUAGGAGGAACACCAAUGGCGAAGGCGGCUUACUGGACAGUAACUGACGUUGAGGCUCGAAAGCGUGG
rnacentral:rRNA from 1 species